GAUGAACGCUGGCGGCGUGCCUAAUACAUGCAAGUCGAGCGAACAGACGAGGAGCUUGCUCCUCUGACGUUAGCGGCGGACGGGGGAGUAACACGUGGAUAACCUACCUAUAAGACUGGGAUAAAUUCGGGAAACCGGAGCUAAUACCGGAUAAUAUAUUGAACCGCAUGGUUCAAUAGUGAAAGACGGUUUUGCUGUCACUUAUAGAUGGAUCCGCGCCGCAUUAGCUAGUUGGUAAGGUAACGGCUUACCAAGGCAACGAUGCGUAGCCGACCUGAGAGGGUGAUCGGCCACACUGGAACUGAGACACGGUCCAGACUCCUACGGGAGGCAGCAGUAGGGAAUCUUCCGCAAUGGGCGAAAGCCUGACGGAGCAACGCCGCGUGAGUGAUGAAGGUCUUCGGAUCGUAAAACUCUGUUAUUAGGGAAGAACAAAUGUGUAAGUAACUAUGCACGUCUUGACGGUACCUAAUCAGAAAGCCACGGCUAACUACGUG
rnacentral:rRNA from 1 species